AUUAAUCAUCCACCUACAUAAGUCACCAGACUAAUUUUUCUGUUUUGUCUCUAACUUGUUUUGCAGAUUUAAAAGAACUGCUGGAGCAAACUAGACAAUGUGGGGCUCGGGAUCCCAGCUCGGUGAAGCUGACUGAUCUGUGUCUCAAGUCGGACCCAAACUUUCAUCACAUAUUAAGGCAAACUCCCGUCAUAUGCAGUGGGCUAAAUUCUCUUCUCAUUUACAUGGAAAUGGGAGGGCUGAUGGAUAUUGUAUGCAGGUCACAAUGUCAGAUUUCCAAUCAGAUCAUCAAAAUUAAGCAUCAGUUUGAUAAACCCAAUUUUCCAGCUGGAAACACAGUAGUCCUGAUAGCUGUAAUCUUGUUUCAGGGACACAAACAGAAUUUGAAAUGACAAAAGUAUUCCAGGAGAUCGGAACUGAAAGC
rnacentral:lncRNA from 1 species